rnacentral:misc_RNA from 1 species
UUCUUUUUUGUUUGUUCUACAUCAUCAUGUUUUCAUUUGCAGAUUAAGUGCCUAGUCUCCAACAGAAAAUAGUGAUGUAAAAUGCAAAUGUCUAAUGCAAAAUCUACUAAUUUUAAAUGGUGAACUUAAUUAUGUAGCAUAAAUAAAGUGCACAAAUGGUGCUUUAUUAACAAAAACUGAACAACUUAACUAUUAUGACAAAUAAAUAAUAUUUUAUUCAAAAUAUAAGAAUUUUUCAGCUAAACAACAAGAGGUAUGUGAGUAAAAUUAAAUAAACCCAUAAACAACAGCAAUCAAAUAAAUUCUGACCUCCAUGG